AGGAAGCGGGACUCAGAGCAGAGCCCAGGAGACAGGUCUUAGGGCGGGGCUAAGGCCAGACCCAGAGAAGGUCUCAGGAGGCGGGGCAGGGGCGGGGCGUUGACUAUGUCGUAGCACAUGGCCAGGCGGUGCGUGGACUCUGGGAGGCGAAGCUUAGGACGGGCCCACGUGGGGAGGAGCCCAGGGUCCGGGAAGCGGGGACGAGUCCGGGCUGGGCUGCGCUCAGGAGGCGGGCCCUCGGAGGCGGAGCUUAGGGAGGGGCCGGUGUCGGGAGGGACCCAGGGACUGGGAGGCCGGUCGGGGCUGGGCUCGGGGGCCGAGACCUAGCUGGGCUUGGGGCGGGGCCGAGACGGAGCGAGGGGUCCAGGGUGUGGGAAACGGGGAGGGAUUUGAGGAGGGGAUCGGAAUGUGGCUCAAGUUCGGGAGGCGUUACCUGCGGAGGGUUUGAGGCAGGCCCAGGAGCGAGCCCAUGGUCUUCCGACGCGGGGCCGGGGGCGGGCCCCAGGAUCCGGAGCUUCGGGCGGGGCCGAGUCCGGGUUUGGGGCCCGGGAGGCGGGGCCAGUUAGGGCGAGGGUCCCUGGGAUCGUCGGGUCAGGCCUUGGGCUAACGUAGGCACUCUCGCAGUUCCUCCGCCUUCGGAAGGUCUUUUUAGCAGGGGCCUUACGGGUGCAUGCUUCGGUCCUGGAGGCCUUAUCCUAGCCUCCUCUCCAUCAGCGCCACCCGUCUGGGGCCCGAAAGGAGGGGCUUUCCCUCUGUCCCCCAGCCUUUGGACUGUCACCAAACAAGCCAUUUGUUCAUCAAAUACUUUUUAAGCGCCUACCAUGUGCCUGACAAGGGAGAUGUAAUGGUGAGAAAAACUAGGUGUGGUCCAGGCCCUUCAGAGGCUCAGGGGCUCGUGGAAGAAGUGGACAUUGAAGUACUUAUCACACAAAUGAGGAUAAAAGUACGAUAGCGAUAUCUACCACGAAGCUGUUGUUCCACACCAGAACCAAAUGAGCGCAAGAUCUGACAAAGAAAAAAAAAGAUUCAUCUUUUAUUCCUCCAAACACUUUCAUUUAAAUCAAGAGGAUGGGAUGUGGUUAUUGCUGUGUUUUUAGACAGAAUCAACGGUUUCUGGGUCUGAGAUGUUGCAUACACCCUCUCAGUCCCUGUAUCCUGAGAGGGAGUCACCUGAGAAUCCACAGCAAGUCCUAACCAGGGAUGGGUCUGGGUGAUUAAGGAAGAUUGGCUUCAGAACUGGGCCAGGGGCACUGCUUUGCUUUUGCUGUUUUGAUCAGCUCUCUGCCUGCAGGAGACAAGGAAAACCAAUGGGAACAGGUUAGUUAUACUCAUAAAUCCUGGGCUUAUUUUAUUAACUCA
rnacentral:antisense_RNA from 1 species